GUAGCAAAUCACAAGCUUAAACCCUAGCCGCAUUUAGGUCUCUAUUAUUUCUCGGAGAGCAGAAGGGAUCAUUGCCCUAGUUGAAGAUGUAAGGUUCCAGUCGGGAAUUGCAGGAAUUGACUUCUAGAUGCGUCAAUUCUCUCAGCAAAGGAGGAUAUUUAGUUAGUUAUUGUACUUUGAUUGCAAGCACCUCAACAAUCUAUUCUACACGUCCUGUCUUCUUUCGACUGUAAGUUUAAUCGCAUCAGUGAACUUAGAGGAAGGAACUAACAUCCCUAGCUUUGAUUGCUCCAAAGAAUUGCAGGCGGAAUCUCUAUGUCGAUUCAAGUAAUGUCAUUUGCAAUCGGCAACCUUAUUAAGCUUGCUUUGGCUUCGACGGAAAUAUUAGAGUGGAAAUUGACCACUUUUAGAUGGGUGUGAUCUAAGAUGGCGUAACCUAAAGCUGGAAUUUGGUAGAUGGCUUGUAUGAGCAAAUUUUCCAAAUUUAUCUAAGAUGGCGUAACCUAAGAUGGCGAUGUUUGGCUGCAACUUCGAUUGACAUUAAAUAGGAUUUAUCACAUCAGAUAAAUCCAAAUUUAUCAAAUCAACACUGUGACAAAUUUGCUCGUGAAUGAUGGCGGAAUAAAUUCAUCUCGCAGUCGGAUUUAUUAAAUUCAGAUUUAUCAAAUCCAUACUGUGAUGGAACACACAGAGGAAGACAGAAGGAGAGAAAAUUGGAUUUAACGGUGGUUUGGAUUUAAUU